AUGUUCCUUAAGAACGGAUUGUGCUACCGCAUCCUUCGCCAUCCGCACAACACGGUCAUCGGCUACGAGAACCACAACAAGCUUGCCUGGGUGCAGCGCAUGGUGCAGACGACGGCGCCGGAGGAGACGGCCCUGGCGCUGAGCGUGAUCUCGGACAACAUCUCGGCGUCCACCACGCCGGCGUCGCUGUGCAUCGCGCUGGGCUCGCUGAUCGGCGCUUGGGUGAGCAGCAACACCUCGGAGCCGCUCACCGGCGCCGGCCAGCAGGCGACGGGGAUGGCAUCGGCCAAGUUCACGUCGCUGCUCGUCUGGUGGCCUCCUUCGCCUGCUUCAUCCAGUCCGCGGGGCACUACGUGCACGCCAGCUUCCUCAUGA
rnacentral:rRNA from 1 species